ensembl:lncRNA novel transcript
UGAGUGUUGGCCAGGAUUUGGAGAGAUUGGAAUACUUACACACUGCUAACAGAAAUGCAAUACGGUGCAGUCUCUGGAAAACAGUCUGGCAGUUUCCUCAAAAAGUUAAAUAUAGAGUUUUUAUAUGAGCCAGCAAUUGUACUACUAGGUAUAUACCCAAGAGAAUUGAAAACAUAUAUUCACACAAAAAAUAUGUACAGGAAUGUCCAUAGCAACACAUUUGAAAUAGCUAGAAAGCAGAAACAAACCAAAUGCCUAUCAGCUGAUGACUGAAUAAAUAAAAGAUGGUAUAUCCAUAUAAUGAAAUAUUACUCAGCAGUGAAAAGGAAUAAAGUACUGAUAGAUGAUACAACAUGGACAAAUUUUGAAAAUGUUAUGGUAAGCGGAAGAAGCCAGGCAUAAAAUACUACAUGCUUUAUGGUUCCCUUCAUAUGAACUGUCCAGAACAGGCAAAUGUAUAUGGACAGAAAGUAGAUGAGCAGUUGCUAGAGUUGAGGGAUGGCAAGUAGGGGAAAUGGUGAGCAACUGCUAAUGGGUACAGGGUUUCUUUUAGAAGUGAUAAAAUGUCCUGAAAUUGAUUAUGGUGAUGGUUGCUAAACUCUGUGAAUAUACCAAAACACAGCAAAUUAUACAUAUUAGAUGGAUGAAUUGUAUGGUAUGUGAAUUAUGUCUUAGUGAAGCUGUUGUUUUUUUUUAAAUCUCACGCUUCCCAGGCAGCUGGAGUUUCUUCUAACUGGGCUGUGGAGUACAUGACAUGGAAGGCAAUGUGGUUAAAGGCAUGCGUUUCAGAAUCAGACUCCCCUGGGUUCCAACGCUGGCUCUGCCUUUUAUUGUCUGUAUAAACUUGGGCAACUCUGUGAACUUGUGAAAAUAUUUGUCAUAAUAUAGUCUUUGUGACUUUGUGCAGAUGAAAUGAGAUGAUGCAGGUAAAAGGUUUAUCACAGUAUUCAACUUGCAAGUGCUUAAAAGGAAGCUACUGACUUCAUCACCUACGUGAACUUGGAAAGUUUACUUAUGAAGUAAGUCAUUUAUUCUGUUACAUAUUAUUUCUGUCUUCUUCCAUUUCUUGUGUUUCCACCACCAAAUCAAAAUAGGAAUCAGAAGUUCGCAUGCAUUUAUCUCUACUGACUUCAAAAGAAGAGGGUAAAAAAGUUGUCCUAGUUUAGGGAUGCAAAUGAUUUAGCAGUGGCAGGAUGCCCUGAGUGCGCAUUACCAGGCUUUGGAGUUUAUGUCAUCAGGCAUGGGGCGAAAUGGUAGCUUUUGAGGCAUAAAAGAGGAGCAUAAGUUCUGUCCUAUUAAAGAGAUCAAUUGUCCAGUGUGUCCAAUAUUCUGUCUUCCACUCUGGCCAAGACAGAUGCUUCAGAGAAGGACAUAAAAUCCAUUAACAUACUUAAUUACACACUCUUGUAUUAUGGGAGAUACAUUACUGUCCCAAACCCAGCCUGUCCUUGCCUAAAUAUCCAACAUCCAUUAUCUUCAAGGUAGCUUACAGAUUUAAACUAAUUAAUCUCUUUUUCUCCAAGAGGCUUUUUCUUACCAGGGGGAUGAGAGGGCUGGUUACCUGCUGCCUGCCCCCAUCUGUGAGCUACUGCGCUGAUGCCUGAUUGUCACCUUGUGCCUGUUUGACCUUAUGCUCAGUGGGCAUUUGGAACUCCUGCACCAUCAAUCAUUUGUUGAAGACCAACUGUAUGCCAGGAAAGGUGCCAGACAUUGGGGCAAAAGGAAGACUAGGAUUUUGUUCCUUUAUGAGAGGAACUCUAAGUCUACUAUGGAGCUAACUGUCAGGCCUCUGAGCCCAGGCCAGGCCAUCGCAUCCCCUGUGACUUGCACGUAUACAUCCAGAUGGCCUAAAGUAACUGAAGAUCCACAAAAGAAGUAAAAACAGCCUUAACUGAUGACAUUCCACCAUUGUGAUUUGUUCCUGCCCCACUCUAACUGAUCAAUGUACUUUGUAAUCUCCCCCACCCUUAAGAAGGUACUUUGUAGUCUCCCCC